rnacentral:rRNA from 1 species
UACAGAGGGUGCAAGCGUUAAUCGGAAUUACUGGGCGUAAAGGGCGCGUAGGUGGUUAGAUAAGUUAGGUGUGAAAGCCCUGGGCUUAACCUGGGAAUUGCGCCUAAUACUGUUUAGCUAGAGUACUGUAGAGGAAGGUGGAAUUUCCGGUGUAGCGGUGAAAUGCGUAGAUAUCGGAAGGAACAUCAGUGGCGAAGGCGCUCUGCUGGACCAUAACUGACACUCAGGGACGAAAGCUAGGGGAGCGAAUGGG